ensembl:lncRNA
GGUGGAGUGGAUGGAAGACUCUGCAGAUGAAAAAGAUCUGGGGGUGUUGGCUGACACUCAGAUUAACAUGAGCCACCAGUGUGUCCAGCGUGAAAAUGUAGAGGAAUACAUGAAGUCAGGCUUUUCAGGCUCCCUAGCGUGCUGGAGCCUGGCCUAUACCUACUGAGCUCAGUCAGCAUCCUCAAGGGGAAGAGGAUACUUCAGGAUCUGAUGACAAUGCAACGGAUGCUCCAACUCCUGUGAGAGACUCUGCAGC